rnacentral:rRNA from 1 species
CAGCAGCCGCGGUAAUACCGGCGGCCCGAGUGGCGGCCACUAUUAUUGGGCUUAAAGCGUCCGUAGCCGGGUUGGUUAGUCUCCCGGGAAAUCUGGCCGCUUAACGGUCAGAAUUCCGGGAGAUACUGCCAGCCUAGGGACCGGGAGAGGCCGAGGGUAUUCCCGGAGGAGGGGUGAAAUCCUAUAAUCCCAGGGGGACCGCCAGUGGCGAAGGCGCCCCGCUGGAACGGGUCCGACGGUGAGGGACGAAGGCCAGGGGAGCAAACCGGAUUAGAUACCCGGGUAGUCCUGGCUGUAAAGGAUGCGGGCUAGGUGUCGGGUGAGCUUCGGGCUCGCCCGGUGCCGUAGGGAAGCCGUUAAGCCCGCCGCCUGGGGAGUACGGCCGCAAGGCUGAAACUUAAAGGAAUUGGCGGG